rnacentral:rRNA from 1 species
AGAGUUUGAUCCUGGCUCAGAUUGAACGCUGGCGGUAUGCUUUACACAUGCAAGUCGAACGGAUUAAGAAGCUUGCUUUUUAGUUAGUGGCGAACGGGUGGGUAAUAUAUCGGAACAUAUCCGGAAGUGGGGGAUAACGUAGCGAAAGUUACGCUAAUACCGCAUAUGCCCUGAGGGGGAAAGGGGGGGAUCGCAAGACCUCUCGCUUUCGGAGUGGCCGAUAUCGGAUUAGCUAGUAGGUGAGGUAAAGGCUCACCUAGGCGACGAUCCGUAGCGGGUCUGAGAGGACGACCCGCCACACUGGAACUGAGACACGGUCCAGACUCCUACGGGAGGCAGCAGUGGGGAAUUUUGGACAAUGGGCGAAAGCCUGAUCCAGCCAUACCGCGUGAGUGAAGAAGGCCUUCGGGUUGUAAAGCUCUUUCAGCCGGAAAGAAAUCGUAUCUAUUAAUACUAGAUGCGGAUGACGGUACCGGAAGAAGAAGCACCGGCUAACUACGUGCCAGCAGCCGCGGUAAA